rnacentral:rRNA from 1 species
CUUCACACGUCAUACAAUGGUCGGAACAGAGGGUCGCCAACCCGCGAGGGGGAGCUAAUCCCCAGAAAACCGAUCGUAGUCCGGAUUGCACUCUGCAACUCGAGUGCAUGAAGCUGGAAUCGCUAGUAAUCGCGAAUCAGCAUGCCGCGGUGAAUACGUUCCCGGGUCUUGUACACACCGCCCGUCACACCAUGGGCAACUCGAGUGCAUGAAGCUGGAAUCGCUAGUAAUCGCGGAUCAGCAUGCCGCGGUGAAUACGUUCCCGGGUCUUGUACACACCGCCCGUCACACCAUGGGAGUGGGUUUUACCAGAAGUGGCUAGUCUAACCGCAAGGAGGACGGUCACCACGGUAGGAUUGAUAACUGGGGUGAAGUCGUAACAAGGUAGCCGUAUCGGAAGGUGCGGCUGGAUCACCUCCUUUCUCG